rnacentral:pre_miRNA from 1 species
UAUUAUGGAUGAGCCAAGAAAGUGGUUUCUUGAGGUAGAACGUACUUUGGGUGAAGAUGUGAGUAUUGC